rnacentral:rRNA from 1 species
GCGGGUGGUAAUUUCAUCUAAAGCUAANUACGGGCCCGAGACCGAUAGCGCACAAGUAGAAGUGAUCGAAAGAUGAAAAGCACUUUGAAAAGAGAGUUCAAGAAGUACGUGAAAUUGUUGAAAGGGAAGCGCGGGUCACCAGACGUGGGCGGGAUCGGUUCCCCCGAUCGCGAGAUGUGGGCUACUCCGUCCCGUCCAGGCCAACAUCGGUUCGGGUGGUCGGUGAAAGGUCCCGGGAACGUACCGACCCUCCGGGGUCGACUUACAGCCCGGGGCGUCAUGCGACCCACCCGGACCGAGGAACGCGCUCCGGCUCGGAUGUUGGCGUAAUGGUGAUCCGCGACCCGUCUUGAAACACGGACCAAGGAGUCUAACCGCUGUGCGAGUGUGGGGGUGUCAAGCCCCGGCGCGGAAUGAAGGUGAACGCAGGUCAGAACCCCCCUCGGGGCGCACGAUCGACCGAUCCGGAUGUCUUCGGAUGGAUUUGAGUAUGAGCACGGCGGUUGGGACCCGAAAGAUGGUGAACUAUGCCUGGAUAGGGUGAAGCCAGAGGAAACUCUGGUGGAGGCUCGCAGCGGUUCUGACGUGCAAAUCGAUCGUCAAAUCUGGGUAUAGGGGCGAAAGACCAAUCGAACCAUCUGGUAGCUGGUUCCUGCCGAAGUUUCCCUCAGGAUAGCAGUAACGGCGUCAGUUUUAUGAGGUAAAGCGAAUGAUUAGCGGCCUGGGGGUGGCAACCACCUUCACCGAUUCUCAAACUUUAAAUAUGUAAGAAGUCUCGGUGCUG